CGGCGCGCUUAACACAUGCAAGUCGAGCGAGAACCCAGGGCUUCGACCCUGGGGAAAGCGGCGAACGGGUGAGUAACACGUGAGUAACCUGUCCUCGGCACCGGGAUAGCCCGGGGAAACCCGGAUUAAUACCGGAUGGCCUUUCGAGCUCUCGGGCUCGUUAGAAAAGGUAGCUUCGGCCUCCGGCCGAGGAGGGACUCGCGGCGGAUUAGCUUGUUGGUGAGGUAACGGCUCACCAAGGCGACGAUCCGUAGCUGGUCUGAGAGGACGAUCAGCCACACUGGGACUGAGACACGGCCCAGACUCCUACGGGAGGCAGCAGUGGGGAAUCUUGCGCAAUGGGCGAAAGCCUGACGCAGCGACGCCGCGUGCGGGAAGAAGGCCUUCGGGUUGUAAACCGCUUUCAGGAGGGACGAAGCCACUCGGGUUAAUAGCCCAGAGGGUGACGGUACCUCCAGAAGAAGCCCCGGCUAACUACGUGCCAGCAGCCGCGGUAAUACGUAGGGGGCAAGCGUUGUCCGGAUUUAUUGGGCGUAAAGAGCGUGUAGGCGGCCAGACAGGUCCGUUGUGAAAACUCGAGGCUCAACCUCGAGACGUCGACGGAAACCGUCUGGCUAGAGUCCGGAAGAGGAGUGUGGAAUUCCUGGUGUAGCGGUGAAAUGCGUAGAGAUCGGGAGGAACAUCAGUGGCGAAGGCGGCCAUCUGGGACAACACUGACGCUGAAGCACGAAAGCGUGGGGAGCAAACAGGAUUAGAUACCCUGGUAGUCCACGCCCUAAACGAUG
rnacentral:rRNA from 1 species